rnacentral:rRNA from 1 species
CCUACGGGAGGCAGCAGUAAGGAAUAUUGGUCAAUGGACGCAAGUCUGAACCAGCCAUGCCGCGUGAAGGAUUAAGGCCCUCUGGGUUGUAAACUUCUUUUAUAGGGGACGAAAAAAGGGCAUUCUUGCUCACUUGACGGUACCCUAGGAAUAAGCACCGGCUAACUCCGUGCCAGCAGCCGCGGUAAUACGGAGGGUGCAAGCGUUAUCCGGAUUUACUGGGUUUAAAGGGUGCGUAGGUGGGUUGGUAAGUCAGUGGUGAAAUCUUCGAGCUUAACUCGGAAACUGCCAUUGAUACUAUCAAUCUUGAAUCAUCUAGAGGUAAGCGGAAUAUGUCAUGUAGCGGUGAAAUGCUUAGAUAUGACAUAGAACACCAAUUGCGAAGGCAGCUUACUAUGGAUGUAUUGACACUGAGGCACGAAAGCGUGGGGAUCAAACAGGAUUAGAUACCCUGGUAGUCCACGCCCUAAACGAUGGAUACUCGACAUUUGUGAUAUACUAUAAGUGUCUGAGCGAAAGCAUUAAGUAUCCCACCUGGGAAGUACGACCGCAAGGUUGAAACUCAAAUGAAAUUGACGG